CAUGUGCAUUCUGAGUGCGGGCUGUCCUUGAAAUAUUUAUCUGCAGUGUUUAACGCUAAACUGUCAGGGAGGCGCAAGAGUGCAUUGAAGCGAAAUAAUGCUCUUGAUAUCUAGCUUUAAAGGCCUUACUUGCGCGAGCAAUAUCUUAUCUUAAAUGACAGUAACUGUGUUACACAUCAAGGUCACUUUUUUCGAAAGCCACGCCACGGGACCACUAAGUUCGUCAUAAUGAGGUUGUUAGCACUUGUGGGCAAAGAAUGCCAUAGAGAGGCAAAACCGUGAGCAGUGAAUCAAACCGAAUAACACAAAGGGGCAGUGAUGGACAAUGUGUGUUUUGCAGUUACAACUAGAAACGAAAUUACCUUUGAAUACAUGGCACAAAAGUUUAAUAUAAAUCGUUUCUCAAUAGUAUGUGUGGCGUUUAUAUAAACACUGUUAACCCCAAAAAGGACAUUUGGGUGACAGCUCAAAAACGGACGGUAGAAUACACAGCCUGCAAAAUUCAGUUUAGGAUCAUUUUCAGUUUGUUUUAAUACACAGUUUUCUGCACCAAAGAUACCGCAUAUCCAAUACAUAAAUCUAUAACUGUCGGAGAACGACACAGAAUUCAGAGAAAAACGUUACACAAAAAACUUGCGUUAAUUUAAAUUGUUCAUACCGUGCAGAAUACAUACAUUUCAAGUUGAAAAAAACUUUGUGUUACAUAGGUAAAAAACGGGAGUCUUUGACUGCAAUCAGUUACAUUACUACCUAAACAGCACUGCCCAUGCAUAGUAGCGUUCAGUUGAUUCCACGUUGUGAAAGUAAUACCUAAUGCUCUCCAUUGUGCAUCUUGAUAAAACGGCUUUCCAGUGAAUCAUUUUAUUGUUACGUAUUACAUGGACGCAAAAUGAGUUUCCACCACCAAGUGGAUUUUAGGAUUCAGUAUCGCAGAGCACUUUCGCUUGGUAAUCUGCGUUGGUACUUCUGAUCCGAAAUUAUAAUUUCAAACGCAGUGUGAAUACAUAUUUCAUUUAAACAAUUAGCAUAAUGCAGUAAAAACAAUUACUGGUGUACAGUUCAUGAGAGAUUCACAAAUUGUAAAUGAGCCACUGACAUUUCAUAUCAUGCGUUUAUUUGCUAGAGGGGGAGGGAGGCGAUGACAAAGGAUAUAGGAAUCCAGAACGUAUUGCAGUAAAUGAGAAUCUUGUAAGAGAGAAUGAAAAAUUGACAAACUGAAAUAUUUCUUCAAAACUAGAAAAACUGAAACGUGAGUUAACAACUGACACUGAAGAAUAAUGCUGGAGGGACCACACCUCUACUAUUGUUAAAAUAUUAAUGCCUCGAUUAGGCCUAUAUGCAGGAAAUAAAGGCAAGCAUCUACUUCCAAAGUGGAAUAAUUUAUCUGCAGUAUACGAACACUAAUCCCAAAACAAACAAGUGCAUUCUCAUGAUCUUUUUAUAUAACAGCUACUGCAAUAAUUACGUCAUUAGAUGUACAGUGGCAAACAGUUUUUCUAAAACAUCAAAUUAUUAAAGCUAGCUUUUGUCAAGUUUCUUCAUGGUCUCAAAAAUCUGGGAAUAUCAUGUGGCAAGGUGAAUGCGAAUGAAUGAACCUUAAUAUAGAAGUAAAUGAGUGCAUCAAGGUACACAAAUAUAUCAAGAUUUGGUGCAUUCCGUGAUGCAAGUGAAGAGAUGGAAAAGUACCAAUUUCCAGAGAUAUAUGACAGUUCUGAAGAAAAUUACAGUUGCAGGCUCAGAAAGUUCAACUACUUCUGACAGGAGUGACACAACUGAUGAAAUUGCAAACAAAUCUGUUGGCAUCACUCACAGCAUCACAACAAGCACCCAAGGCUAUGCACAACAGUUCUCGGCAUUCGGUACACAGCAGGAAGACUGGUUUGAUUAACAUGCUCUGCUUGGCACCCAUUUCACUGCAAAUCAUAUUCAAUGCAUGGACAGAAAAUCACAUUUUUUUGGCAAUGCUAGGCAUCACAGUAUACAGGCUAGCAUAUAAACUAUUUUCCAUUGCCUGCCCUGAAAGUGCAGUGAGGAUAUGAUUUCUGCAAAAGACAAAUACUCUGAUGCACAAGUGGACUUGUCCGCUGCUCGGUACAAGUUUUUCAGGUUACAUAGGCAACCUCAUCAAACUAACAGACAGUGAGUAGCUAAUUUACAAGGCCUAACCAGGCAUUGGAAGUUUAAGUGUGAUUGUGGUAGAUAUUACAGUGAUGUCAUGAUUCAAGACACUGUCACCCAAAAUGUGUCUGACUCUAGAAUCAGGGAGCAAGUGCUAAAGUACCAAGGUCUGAGUUUAACUGUUAUGAUUGUGCUGUGGUAAACCUUGACACUCCACACUUAUCUGUAAUGCAAAGUAGGGUUGAUAGCAAACAUUUCUUCUGCUUUUGACAGUAGCAUAAUGCAAUUUGCUGAUUUUUCUUGAUUUCAUUAAAACUUCAUGAGGAAUACGUAGAACAAUGAGAAAGGUCAACUGACUUGUGGUGUAACUCCUUUUUAGAAUAUUACUGUUCUCAUAACUACAAAGGUAUCUCCACUGCAAUUUGGUUUGGUCAGCAGUCGCUUCCUCAAAUGAUGACAGGUGCAUUGUAGACAGGUUUCCAUGCUCAACAUAGUAAUGUAACUUUAUAGUCAUAUUUUGUGUUUCUGUUAUUACUUGCUUCAUUAGAUAGAGCUUUUUUGCCUGUAAUGGGCAUUUUCAUUUAUUUCAUGUCGGUGUGGUCUUAUUAAUGAAGAGGUUGUGAAGAACUCGAAUACUGAAUCAGAAGGUGACUUAUCAAACUCAAAUUUGGAUUAUCUAUCAGAGUCAACUGACAAUGAAAGUAGUGGGUCAACUGGCACAAUUACCAGUGAAGGUGGUAGCUAGAGAUGGAAUGGAAGGUCAAUAACACACCAUCACCUGCAAGAAGAGCCACUUCCAAUGUCCUGAAGUAUGAAGGAUGGCCCACUGCAUAUGCCUGCCACUAAGUGGAUGACUCCAUCAUCAGUACUUUCCAACUUCUUUUUGAUGCUGUGAAUCAUAAAAAACUCACAGAAUCAAAUGCUUGGGGAAAAAAACCAUGGAUCAUAUUGUUUGAGGAUGUGGAGACAAUGAUUGGUAUCAUGUAUGUCAGAGGUGCAUUCUGUGCUUAAAGUGUUUUGUUGGAUGACCAUUGGUUGCAUUCUUGCAGGGCUCAGUUUAUCAGCAAUAAAAUGAGAAGAGGCAAAUUCUGCUAUCACAUUCUUCCAUUUUGGUGAGAAAUUUCCCAAGCUCAGUGCAUCCCAGAAGAUAAGUUCAGUCCUAUUUCUGAAAUAUGAAACAAGCUUGUGCAAAACUACCCCAGCUGUUUCAUCCUGGUGAAAAUAUUACAACUGAUGGAACAAUUACUUCCAAGUAAAGCCAGUACCCAGUUCAUCUCAAACAAACCAGACAAAUAAGGAAUCAAAAUUCAGCUAACUACUGAUGUGGCAAUCUAUCCUUUUAAUAAUAACAUAUAAAUUUUUUCUUGAAUAAUUAAUUGACAGUUUUAUGUUCAGAAUCUAAACAUUGCAAUAUUUUUUCUUAUAUCAUUUUACUAAAAUGACUGAUAUACAUAACUGGCAAGUACAUAAAUUGCACUUUGACUGUGCUUCCUGCCAUUUUGUUACUUGUACUAAAUAUUACCUAAUUCAAAGUGUCGCCACCCGUUUCACCAGUGCCACUUGUGCAAAAAUUUAUAACUUUUAUCCAUUAUUUAAGAUUCAUAUAUACUAUCAAUAAUUCAGUGAACAACUAUGGGUUCUUUGUCACUGUAUUAUAAGAUUACAUGCUCACUUGUUUUUCCAUCUACAUGUAACAGGUUCAUGUUGGUAUUGGAAAUAGCUUUAUUUUUAUCUUCCUCUUAUAGAUAUUGUGAUGGAUGUAAAGCCCAAUCCAGAUAUCUGUUCAAAUAAAAAGUGUCCAAGGUUGUGAACUCUUCGACUUUUAAAAGAUGAGUGUUGCAACAUACAAAUGCUUAACAAACACUUGAAGUGUAGCAGAACAACAUGGACUCAUUAAAAUGAGAUGUGGUAUUUAUUCCAUGAACACUUGACAAACCAUAAACACCUCCCCCCUCCCCCUAUCCCUUUAUUCCUCUUAUACAUUGCAGUGUGUGUGUGCCAAAAUACACUUCAACUGUAUCUUUUCUUUGGUAGGGAGCAUUAUUACCAAUGAAGGGUCUCUACAUGAGCCUCUUCAUCAUUUUGUUUAACAUUUAACCUUAUGUAUCCAUCUCUGGAACCUCAGUUCUGGGCGCAAACUGUAAACUACGUUAAAAAAGGAGACAGCAGCUGAGUGUGUCUAUCAUGGUCACAAGGUAUAAUACCUUUAUUUUACCUCACUUUUUACUAAGAUUUUUGGUAAUUAUCAGAGCCUCAUACACAUAUUCAAUACAUCUAUGUGCAGUAUGUCUGUAUAUACAUCAUUUCCUCCUCUCAACUCAUGAAUCAAAAGCAUGAAUGAGAGCGUACAAGGUAAAUUUCAGUAUCUAGAUCUGUGGUAGUAAAAGCAGUCUGCUACUGUGGCAGAAUAGCCAACUCUAUAAAGCACGCACCAGAUAGCAAAGAGGUUUUAGUUGGCCUUUGACUAAGUUCUUGUACAGAUUGGCACCACACAAUUGGGAACUCUCUGGACACUUCCGGAGGAAGUUCACUUGGCAGUGCUCUGGCAGAUGCAAGACAGGUGGAACAGACUAAGUUUGAGUGUGCCUAUUCAUAGUUAAUUCAUUAUCUUAGUUUUGUGUAUUUCAGCUCCAGUCAAAAUUAACAUCAUGCUCUCAUCACUCAUUGCUUGUUGAAUGGUAUACAGAAUUUUUCUGGUUAAUUUUGGAACAUUAUAACCAGUUGCACUUGCCCAUGCAUGCAAGAC